UCAAAAUUCAGUGGGAGACACCGCCUCUCCCAGAGGUAAGAACCUGCUGACACCUUACUUCCACCAGAUGCAAUGGGUACCAUGGAGUUCGGAGCUGCUGGGAGUGUUCUCUUGAACUGCAGAUUCCCUCCUGCUAGCCCUGGGGCAGCUGUUCCAAAUGACAAUGAUUGCCUGGGUGCUCCUGCUACAGGCUGCCAACUCUGGGAGGUGGUUGGCACUGGGGGAUGCAAGAUUUCAUCCAUUUUGCUGACGUGCCCCGAUCAGUUCUCCAGUUUUCAGAUCUUUCAGAUGCUUUGACCUGGACAGUUUGGCUUCAUCUUGAGCACCUUUUAACUUCAAAGAUUUAAUCACGAUCCCGAGUCAGGUUGGACUUUCCAAGACUGGAAGUUGGACUGACAGAACCUAAGAGAAACAACUCUUUCCUCUGCCUAAGAAACUAGUAAUAUCAUGCCUGUUACUAACUCAGAUCAAGCUGGUGGUGUUUUAGUGUUUGCAUUUUCUAAAAUGGGCUGAGUAUCCCAGUCAGCCUAAAAAUGCAGAAGGGCUUUUCUGUAGCAUCAGAGUUACGUGUUUGUAACCUAUGCAAACUUUUAUGCAGAUUUCUCAAGGGUGAAAAAAUAGAAAUGAAAGAUAUAUUGAUAUUCUACUAGCUAAUGUGUCAGUUAAGCUCCCAGUGUGGUAUCAUAUUGUACAGCAUUCAUGUAUUCUACCUAGCAAGUUUUGAAAUGAAGACUUUGAUGACUGUGUUUAUAGUAUUCCAUGAAAACGGGGAUAUAUAGGUAAUGGGAUGCUAAAGUAAUCAUAAUUUCUGCUCCCUAGAGCUGGAGUUUGUGGAUGGGGGUUAAUGAUGUUUUGUUUUUUUUUUUGUUACUUUUUUUAACGCACUCUGCUUAAUUUCUUAAUUACCAUUACAGCCAAGGAAAGGCAGAAGUUUUCAAAAUCUUCCUGUUUGAUAACAACAAUGUUUUUUAACCAGGCCUUAUUAAUAAGAGACUAAUAACUGCUAAGAAGGGGGCAAGUGCUAACAAACUAUUGACUGAAAAAAUACUAAAAAAAUAAGAUAUAAGUUGCAGUUGAUUUCUCAGAUUUCAGGUGAACUAUGUAGGGAAAAGAUGAGUGUAGGGGAACACUGCGAACAUACUUUUAGUCUAAGAGUUUUGAAAGAUGAUGAUAGCAUGUUAUACUAAGAAAUGUCAUUGACAUGAGCCUGUAUAUUCAUCAGUGGGGACAAUUGCUGGAUUUCCUUCAAAGUUGCACUGUUGCUCUGAACAAAUGCUGAAAUUGAGGCAGUUUUUAGUUCUCACAAAUGUAGACUAUGACCUAUAGACCAAUGCCUAUUGAUGGAUGAAAUGUUCUUCAUGUUCUGGAAAUGAGACUAUUGCUGACAAUAUAUCUUUGAUGUUACUGACUGAAGUGUAUCAAAUAGUUCCUAUAAAAAACCUAAAUGGCAAUCCAUCCGUACUUGUCAGAGACACGGAACUCAGUUAGUCAACUAGACUGUCAGUGGUACUUCACAUCCCUACCUGAAACAGCAGAGUAGUUUUGGUUCAGCACACUUGGCAAUGGCAGAAUUUUCCAGUUAGCUGGAAUACAAUCAAGCCAACUCUUUUCCUGGGGAUUUUAACAUGCCAUAGCAGUAAUUCCUGAAAAUCACUAAUGCUGGAGAGUAACUGUGCGGACACUCAGGGUGUCUUCCCUGUUGUUGUUUUAUACCAUCAGCAAGCAAUUCCAUAUCAGAGCUCCAAUUCUGGUGUUGCUUUCUGUGCUCACUGUGCGAGGCUGGGGGCAUCUUAUGCUUGUCGAGAAAUGGAGGAUGAGCAGUACAUAUCCUUCCCAUCCCGCCUGUGGUUGAUCUUAGCUUAAAAGUAAGGUGAAACUCCAGAUCUGUAAGCUGUUAUGCGCUUAAAAAGCUUUCAUUUUUCAAUUACUUCAUCAGCUUUCUGCCUGAAUAGCAAGAAGAUUCAAACUCGUGUGGUGACUGUUCACAGGUUAAUGUGAAAUGAAGACAUACCGCCUUACCUCAAGGCAUUCAUACUUUGAAACUGGUAAAAGAGAAGUCUUGGGGUAUCUCGCACAAACAUAACAUGGUAAAUCAACAGCCCAGUUGCAGAUACUGCAUUUUCUGGCUUUUGGAUCCACUAUAUUCAUGUCUGCCUGUGCUGUUCUGCUGUCUCUAAAAUCAGUGCAGCUGGCCUUUUAGAGCACCCAGACUACCUCUUUUCCUUCCACUCAAUAGUCAGUGUUGCUCAGAUCAUGAGUAGAGCACAUUGUGCGCUUCCCUGUGAUUUUCACUGUAAUUUAUUUGUACUGAGGAUUUCAUUAGCAGCUCUAUCUCUAUCCUUGAGCAAAGCCAUUGUCAAUAGUUAGCAGUUGCGAGCAGUUACAGUACUGAACAUUACCCUGUAGCUAGGACACAGUUCAAAAGCCAGAAAGUUGAUUGACUGCUCCUCUCUGCAUAAAUACAUUUUUAUCCUUGUUUUCCACGGCUUCAGCAUUCAAGGAGUAGGAAUCAAGUGCUGCUUCUUUCUCUGCUGAACAGAAUAAGAGCUGCAAACUGAGUAUUAGCCUUCUGCACCUGUGAAGAUGUAGGUUCCUCUUGGUAACUGCUGUGCACAACAGCAGUGACCCAUAUAAACUCAAGCAGCUCUGUGGAUGGGGACCUUGUAUGCAGAAAGGAAGGAAAGGGGGUGGAGGGAGAAAUGAGGGCUCAUUUUCCCUCUGCAGCAGUCUUUCUGGGUGGCCUUGAACACAUCACUUAUAUCCUUUCCCUCUUUCCUGCCUCUCCUUUUCCUCCAUGUACUUCAGACUCCCACCUGUGAAAGGAGGAUGAUAAAAUGUCCUCUCACACUGUUCCUCCAGCUAAAUGCUCAUACAGACAACCACUUUGGCACAGCAGAUGCCCUUGGUACAGUGCUACAGCACUGAAGUCGAUGAGGUUGAACUUGGGAGUGAGUUUAAGGGUUAAGUAUUGAAUGUAAUAUAAGUAUUCAGAAGCCAGAUUUUACAGUAGGCUUCAAGAAUGAGAUUUUCAAAGUUUCUGAAUAUCCAUGUAUCAGAGAGAUUUACCAAAUUAAUCACUCUUAUGCCCUUAGGAAAUUCAAGUUUUAAAUCGACACUUAUGUUUCUGGGUCAGAGGCUUGACUCCCUGAAGCAGGGAAUACCUAGCAGUUUACUGUGAACAUGGUGGAGAUUAAUUUGGGUUCAACACUUCCACAGUCAUGUUUGAAGAGUUAGAGAUGGACUUGGGGACCUUACUGUAAAUUUUUACUGUAGAUUUUUUGGGGGGCGUAAGCAUGCAGGACUGUGUGUUUUUUCUUAAUUUGCUUUUUUCUUCUUUUCCUUAAACCACUGUUCCAUUUCAAAAUGUGACUUGUUCACAAGGACAAAGUAUGUGUACUAAGUGUCUUGAUUCAUCAGUAGAUUUUAGACUGCCAGAUGCAUGUGGUGGUCUUGGUUAUUUUCCAACCAAAAAGUCACAAAGACCUGACAGUGUGCGUAUAUAUUUUCACACACAGCUAUUUUGGCAUUUCAGCUAACUGGCUGUAUUUGCUUAGUAGAAAUGUGGACUGAGCCAUUGCAGGAGUGAGGGGGUGGUCCCCCCAGGUCAGAGUUGAGGUUACUGGUAGGGCAGGGUGGGGAAGUUUGGAUUGCAGCUGCCUACACAAAAUGUGACCUCAGAUUAAUCAGACAGCUUCAGUUUCCACUGCUGCUGUCUCAAAGCCUCUAUGAAAAAAAUUGCCAAAACAUAAUUUAAAAAAAAAAAGAUUUUUGGAGUUCAUACAAAACACUGGAGAAAAACUUAAAAUGAAGAACUAUCUUUUUAUCUGACUACUUACUACUUGCUGACAGAUUAAAGCAAAUGUUAGAGAUUAAGGGUAGCACUGCAAUAGCAUGCACAUUGUCAAUGUUAAACUGGUUAGGCAAGAUCAGGUACUGAUGUUAAUCAACUUGUCUCUGUUGAAGUUGUGUCAGUUUACACCACUUAAGAAUACAAUUUCUAAUGUAAUAAUUUACCACAUUGCUCCUGUUAAAUUAUAUACAUCUAUAAAUUUUCUCACUCUGAAAGAAGAGUUCUUUAUUAGAUAGUGACUUCAUAGGAAUAGGGUGUUUUUAUUAAAUACUAAGAAUUCAACAUUUAUUUUAACAGAAAUCCUUGUCUAUAUUUAGUCCCAUGUGAACCUGACAGUGAAGAACAUAUGCUGCUCUUGCCAUGUCCUGAUAUGGUAGAGUAGCAAAGUAUUUUGAAGAUGACAGUGAGUCUCCCUUCCCAGAAGUGAUCUUGCUGAUAACCUGUAGUCAAGGAUAGACUUUCAGAAAAGGACAAAUGUGGGUUGCUCUUCAGAAACU